rnacentral:misc_RNA from 1 species
CAAUAUACAGUGUAAAUGUAAAGGCGUCAUCCAUCCAUCAUUAGUUUUGAACUCCCUGUCCUCCCCCGUUUGGAGUGCGAACGAGUACGUUGGAAACAGCGUUCGGGAGUUCCAAAUCGCCGGACUCCCAUGUCUCCUCCUCCUUCUUCAUCAUCAUCAUGAAUUUUAUUUUCCUUCCUCUGCAGAUGGAUGUCCUCUUUCUCUUCUCUCAUUUCCAAACGAUUCCUUAUCAUUUGGAUUAAGAGUCGCGAAUCACGAUCAUUAAUAUUAUUAUUUUUGUUUCCAUCUCUCGCUAUGCGUUGGCUUCCAAACAUUUCCUUCUCGUCGUCGUCUAAUCCUUCCACCUCUGCGCCUUCCUCUUCCUCUCCUCAGCCUACUUUCUCUUCCUCCUCCUCGUUCUCUUCUUCUGCUGCUGUUGGCGAUGUCACUUUUUCUCCAUCCAGGAAGCAUAGUCAUAAAAGCUAUAUUCGUGCUGGUCCGUUAGGUUUGCGUUUCGGCGGUGGCGGUGGUCCCAGGCUCACGCGCCAGAGGAAGCUCCGCCAUUUGGCCGAAAAUGAGGUUGCAAUCCAAGACGCUUCCGCGAAACCGAACCACGAGUCUGCUGAGUCCGUUCAGCUUUUGCGGUCGCCUAGUGGUUCUUCCUCCACCGUGCCAUCGAGGAUGUCAUCGUCAGUUCCUGUGCCUGUGCCGUUGCCCC